AUGCAAACACUCGAAAGUUCUAAGACAGCAUGUGAUAUUUUAGAUGAAUAUGUCGAGGCACUUGCUUACAUUGCACGUCAAAGACGACAAGGUCCACCCCCAGUUUAUAAUUCGGCACGUGAACGUGAAAAGCCAAUGCCAAACACCAAUCAACCAAGUUCCGAGGAUUUGGAUACGAUAUUCUUCGAAGAAAGCGGUGGAAGUGAUUUAUUAGUGCCCACUGCGUCUGAUUCAGAUGCGACAUUCUGGGAGGGUGAUGGGCAUGACGAUGCAACAAAACAAAGCCAUCAAAACUCUGAUGAUGAUUCACGUGGAAAUAGCCGCAACGAGUGUGAUUCAAGUGGUACAUCGCACAAUGAUUUAAACGACAACCAAGAAAGCGAUUCAGAUGGAACAACAAACAUUGUUUCUUCAACUCCAGACAAUACAAUUGCAAUUGGAGCUGAUCAGGUUACACCACAUGCUACCGACUUGAAUCAAACACCAGCCGAAAAUGAAAGUGAAAAUGGUCAAUUGGUGAUUACAACGACUGGCAUCAAAGAAGAAGGGUCGGUGCAUUUGGACGAAGUCGAUGGUCGCGAACUGGACAGCAUUCUCAACGCAGACGAGCCGGUUGAAACGGAAUAUAUACAACACGAUGGCGAUGUAUAUAUUUCCUCUGAGCGAAUGUCAUAGCCGUUUUCUCAUUUGUGUUUUUGGGUUAGUGGAAAUCAUAUUUGGUUGACAUCGAUGGUGUCUCUGUCGAAGUUCGCAUUUCGGGCACUGUUGUCAAGACUCUUAUGAAGUGGAACGGUCCGACUUCACGUACACAAUACUAUGAUAAAAUAAAACGAAUUACAUACGUAAUCCAAACUUUUCCGCUCCGCAGCAAUUUAGUUUGCACAAAUUGUUCGAAAAUGACACUUUUGUAUGGAAAAUAUAUAAUAGUUAUAUUUUAAGGUCAAAAAUGCUAUGAAAAAAGGGUCCAUUGAAAUUUUGGUUAAACAUUAAGCGGGAGGCAAACUAAAUUGCUGUGGAGCGGAAAAGUUUGGAUUACGUAUGUAAUUCGUUUUAUUGAAAUUUAAAUUUCAAAAAUUUCAAGAAAUGUUGAUUUCGGACCAAAUUUAUGGGCAAUUAGGUGUUCGGUUGUUUGAAAGCUCCCAUUAUUUUUGCAAAAAAAUGGCAGUUUGCCUUGAUCGAAACCCCGAAAAAUGCCUUUUUCGGGUACUUCCCGUACAAAAGUGUCAUUUUUCAAGGUUUUUCAGGUCCUCAGUCGGAGGCUUAUGGUACGAAAUUGGUAAAUCAGAAUGAUCUCAAUUAUCUUGUCAAUGAGAUAAUCGGCGGACAAAAAGCUCGGACGCGAACGACGCCAUACGCACAUCGCUAUUUUGCACAUAUUUCAUAGUAAACAACAUGUUUUUGGAGGCAGAUAGCUCUUGAUCGAUAGGAUUUCAACCCAUCUACAUUGCCUAGUGUACAGAUACGUGCUUUUUGAAGUUUGGCGUGACGUUAUAGUGGUCCGAAAGAGGAGAUGUCAUGAAAUUUUGGCUAGUAAAACCAAUACUUUUCCAUACGAACAAAGUUUGCGGAAAAGUAAAAUUCAUCAAAAUGUUGCUUAUUUCGUUCAUUAGCACUAGCAAAAUUUGCAACGAUGAUGUCCCGUCUUCAGUAAUUGAUUUGAUUCGAGAUUUGUUCAACUUUCGUGCAAAAGACAAGAAAAGAAAAAUGCCGCCAAAAAAGAAACAUUCGAAGAUUUGCUGAAAACCGUAUGCGACGAAAUUAAGCGAUACUAAUUGAUGCCGAUCGAAUUACAACAUGAAUAGAAGUAUUCAAAAAAAAAAACAAAUCGAAUGAAAAUAACAGCUAAUGUUUUUGUUUUAUUUUUUUUCUGCUUUCUUCUUUCCCUCUGC